AGGACGAACGCUGGCGGCGUGCUUAACACAUGCAAGUCGAGCGGUAAGGCCUUUCGGGGUACACGAGCGGCGAACGGGUGAGUAACACGUGGGUGAUCUGCCCUGCACUUCGGGAUAAGCCUGGGAAACUGGGUCUAAUACCGGAUAUGACCUCCUAUCGCAUGGUGGGUGGUGGAAAGAUUUAUCGGUGCAGGAUGGGCCCGCGGCCUAUCAGCUUGUUGGUGGGGUAAUGGCCUACCAAGGCGACGACGGGUAGCCGACCUGAGAGGGUGACCGGCCACACUGGGACUGAGACACGGCCCAGACUCCUACGGGAGGCAGCAGUGGGGAAUAUUGCACAAUGGGCGAAAGCCUGAUGCAGCGACGCCGCGUGAGGAUGACGGCCUUCGGGUGUAAACCUCUUUCAGCAGGACGAAGCGCAAGUGACGGUACCUGCAGAAGAAGCACCGGCUAACUACGUGCCAGCAGCCGC
rnacentral:rRNA from 1 species